UACGUAGGGGGCAAGCGUUGUCCGGAAUCAUUGGGCGUAAAGAGCGUGUAGGCGGCCCGGUAAGUCCGCUGUGAAAGUCCAGGGCUCAACCUGUGAAUGCCGCUGGAAACUGUCUGGCUUGAGUCCGGAAGGGGCGAGUGGAAUUCCUGGUGUAGCGGUGAAAUGCGCAGAUAUCAGGAGGAACACCAAUGGCGAAGGCAGCUCGCUGGAACGGUACUGACGCUGAGGCGCGAAAGCGUGGGGAGCGAACAGG
rnacentral:rRNA from 1 species